rnacentral:rRNA from 1 species
GGAAGAGAUAAGUGCUGAAAGCAUCUAAGCACGAAACUUGCCCCGAGAUGAGUUCUCCCUGAGACUUAGAGUCUCCUGAAGGAACGUUGAAGACGACGACGUUGAUAGGCCGGGUGUGUAAGCGCAGCGAUGCGUUGAGCUAACCGGUACUAAUGAACCGUGAGGCUUAACCUU